rnacentral:rRNA from 1 species
UACGGAGGAUCCAAGCGUUAUCCGGAUUUAUUGGGUUUAAAGGGUGCGUAGGCGGCUUAUUAAGUCAGGGGUGAAAGACGGUGGCUCAACCAUCGCAGUGCCUUUGAUACUGAUGAGCUUGAAUAUACUAGAGGUAGGCGGAAUGUGACAAGUAGCGGUGAAAAUGCAUAGAUAUGUCACAGAACACCGAUUGCGAAGGCAGCUUACUAUGGUAUUAUUGACGCUGAGGCACGAAAGCGUGGGGAUCAAACAGG